UACGUAGGGUGCAAGCGUUAAUCGGAAUUACUGGGCGUAAAGCGUGCGCAGGCGGUUUUGUAAGUCUGUCGUGAAAUCCCCGGGCUCAACCUGGGAAUUGCGAUGGAGACUGCAAGGCUAGAAUCUAGCAGAGGGGGGUAGAAUUCCACGUGUAUCAGUGAAAUGCGUAGAGAUGUGGAGGAACACCGAUGGCGAAGGCAGCCCCCUGGGUCAAGAUUGACGCUCAUGCACGAAAGGCGUGGGGAGCAAACAGG
rnacentral:rRNA from 1 species